rfam:Ovis aries breed Texel chromosome 1, whole genome shotgun sequence.
GGCUCUGUGGCACAAUCGGUUAGCACCUUUGGCUGUUAACUGAAAGGUUGGUGGUUCAAGCCCACCCAAGGCCG